rfam:Candidatus Scalindua sp. BSI-1 SCARTB_contig000338, whole genome shotgun sequence.
UCUAUCGUGAGAUAGAAUCUGAAGGGUUUGAGGAGAAGUGCCGGGCUGUAAUCAAAUAUCAUGAUGAACCGGUCGGCCAAAAGUGGGGCAAGGUCGAGCCUGCACUAUGGAGGCGAAGGCAAACUCAUCCACCCACUGUACCAAGGUGUGUGCGGACGGCACGGUACGGAAGAUUAGAGU